AGUAGAUCCAGUCUACUAUGAGGAAAAUAAAAUAUAGAUUUACUGGUGUUGGAACCCACAGUUACCAGUUCAAGCAGAACAUUUCAGCAUGUUAAAUCUCUUGUGACCUAGACAUCAUUCUGUAGCUGGUCCUGAACUCCACAUGAUGGUAAAUUUCUUUAAUUUUGGAUAAUUGGUUUGCAUUAUAUUAACAUACAGAUACACAUUGUCUGUAUACUUUUAAGUUCUGUGAUACUGCCAGAUGAGUGUUUUCAAGGCAGACAACAAUAUACCAUCUGUGGUUGAGAAAACAGCUAGUGAUCCCUCACAAACAAAGAUGAUUUUCUACAAACUAAUAAUGAAUUCUCACAUGGCUGAUAAUUGUUCGUGAGUCAUGCAUCUUAGCCAAUUUAUUGCUUCUCCUAUAACUGCUGUGGUAUUUUAUUGAAGUACAGUGGCUUCCUAUUUUAACAGAACAAAAUUGUUAUUUCUGUUUACUUUCAUUUCAAAUUAGAUCAUAAUGGAAAUCUUUGGGUGUAAUGAGCUUUAAAACCUAAUUCCUAUAGAAAUGAUCCAUUUUAGCCUAAAUAACAAAGACCUUAAUCUUGGCAAUAUUAAUUUCUGUAUCUCAAAGAAAUAAUGAUCAUUUGAAAAUAUGUAGAAAAUAUUUUCUUGUGUACUGUUGCAAUAAUAAUGAAGCAAACUUUUUCUUCUGUUUUGACAAAUGGCUCUGUAUACAUAAUUCAGUUCUGAGUAUUAAAAUAUUGAAUUUAUACUUGGCCACAUUUCAGUCUUGUUGAAAGUUCCUGGAAAUAGUUUUCAGAAAACCCCUUAGAAAUAUAUCAAUCUUAUUCAAAGUUGAGAUCUUUGCCACUUAAUGUCAAAGUUUUGAACUCAAGGCUGAAAUAUUUUUUUAUUGGUUAAAAUGUUGAAAUAGUUUAAUGUGAAGUUCUCAUUGGGUCUCAUUUGUCUGUUCCGGGGCAGAAAUUAUUAAAUUAAUUAUGAAAAAGUACCAAUUUACAAAACUGUCAUCUUUUAAAAUACAUUUCUACAUUUAUGCAAAAAUUAUUAAACACUUUUAGAAUUACCUCUUAUAAGCCAGGCGUGUAUAAUUUUCAUGAUAUUGUACAUUUUCUCUUCCCAAAUAACCAUAUUGACUCGGAGAUUCAGGACUGGACAGACACUUGGAAAUUAAGUACUAAGCCCUAAUAAAUAUAUGACUCACAUUUACAGUGCUCCUGACCAGCCUUCAGCUGAAUGUGUUACCAUAGCUUGCUACUUCACAAGUUCACCUACGUUUUUUGAGAGAUGAAAUUGUUUGAACUUGUUGGAAAGUUCUCUUUCACAUCUUUAUAUAUUUAUAAAUUUGUUUACAUAUUUAUGUGUGUAUAUAUGAAUCUAUUUCCAAACUUGAAGGUAACAACAUCUCGCCCGUAAUUUCAAUUAACUGAAAAAUGGAGAGCAAGGCUUAUAUGACUAUUUCUUGUAUGUACUGGACUUUCAAAUAUUUGCAGACUCUCAUCUUCUCUUCUUUUAGAUUUUUUUUUUUCCAGGCUUCACAUUCCAACUCUUUCAAUGAAUCAUCAAAAACAGGCUUUUCCCUUUAUGAUCCUUUGAAAACUUACCUCUGUGCAUUACAGAUUACUCUCCUAAGUAUGGACUAUCCAAAGCAGAGUAAAAUGGUAAAUACAGUGUUCUGAGUUUUUCCUGUUGCUUUUUCUGUGGUUGUUCGGUCAGCCUGAUUUUUUGUUUCCCUUAAAUGCAGUUUUUCUGACAUCUAGAGUCCCACUGCUUCUCUAGCAGCACACCAGCUUUGUUUUAAGAACAAUGCGGCAGAGCCAUUCAGCAAACAUGGAAAUAAUUUCUUUAUCUGGCUCUGGGGUCUCAGAUCUCUAGUUUUAUACAGAAAGGACCAUCUGAAAUAACCUUUCAUGAUUGUCCUCUUUUCCCCCUAUGCUUUUAGGGGGGUAAAUUUGUCCUAAAGUUUGUCUCAAUCCUCCUGCCUAAAGGCCUACUGAACAUUUUCUGAGACCCGAGGUAGCCAUUCUCUUAGUCUCUCUCCACAUAGUGAUUAAUCUCAACUUGCCCUCUGCACGUCAGGUUUCUUUUUCCCUGUGUGGGCCAGCUUUAUGUCUCCAUGAAUAUUCUCACCCAUCUUUUCUUAAGUGUAUACAAUGAUCAGUUGCAGUAAUACACUAAAUUUGAGACGCGAAUUUCAAGAGUAAGUGGAUUUCUCAGAGAGAGGAUUUGCUUGUCCUACUAAAUAACUGUGGUUUAAGUUUACAUGUGAAAUUUAUAGUCUUUCAAAGAGAAAGAUGUCUACUUCAAUGUUAAAUAGCUCUUGAUUUUGUCCCUGUGUUUCUGUCUGUGGUUACUCUUUUGUAUUUUUUCAUUUUUGAUUAAAUUAAAACAUCAUCAAAUAUUUAGGGCUUUUCAUGCCUUUGAGAUUUUCAAAAGAUUAGUAUCAUUUGAUUUGUUCUGAUCUAGAAUGUAGGCUUUAGUUUGAUUUCUAGGAAGUAUUUUACUGAGUUCAUUGGACUUUGACGUGAGAAUCUUUUAAAUGGGAUCAUUAUAAAAACUCACCUGAAUAAACUCAGGUUCUUAAUUUUGCUUCUUGUUCUCCAUACAGAUUUAGGCAAUCCAUUGCUUAGAAAUGGAAAAUGUCAGACAUUUCAGAGGAUUUGUUCCUGACAUUUUCAAGGACAACAGAGUUCAACAUAAAAAAUCAAAACAUGCUGAUCUGAAAUAACAUCUGCCUUUAGAAUUAGGGCCCUUAGUUGCAUUUAAUAUUCGCCAUUUGACCUUCCUAAUAUAAAGAGUAAGUUCUGUCAUGUGGGGGAAGCUGUUUAAUUCAGCAAAUCUAUACCAUAUCUUUGUUUUCUUCUUUCCUCUCCAAUUUUUUUCAUUUCCAUGUGCAUAAUAAACCUAUAUAUGUGGCUGAGAAGACGCAUGAUUUGGUGUUAAAUGUGACUAUUUCCUAUACCUCUUUGAAUCUUAAGCAAAAAAAUCCAAAAAAUGCCCUUAUGGAGACAGUGCCAUUAGAAUCCCCUUAUAUUUUUUCUUAUAAUGUUUAUCUGACACUGACUAGUCUGUAAGUGGAGUGGCAAGGAACUCAAUGACAGUUUGUCUGGGCUGUAUUUGGUCUUCCAUCUUUCUCCAUCUUCUUUCUUGACCAAUUUGGAUACACCAUUUAUCAGACAGUUGACCUUUUAGUUUUUUAAGGACACAUAAGAUUAAUUGUACAUAUUUAUUUGAUACAGUGUGAGGUUUUGAUACAUGUCUAUACUAUGUAAAAAUCAAAUCAGUGUUUCGAUUUCAUAUUCAUCACCUCAUACGUUUGUCUUUGUUGUAAUGAGAACAUGAAAAAUUCCCUCUUCUAGCUGUUUUGAAAUAUAUAAUACAAUGCAGUUUCUAUCAAAAUACCAAUGACAUUCUUCACAGAAAU